rnacentral:rRNA from 1 species
CUUAAAUGAAUUGACGGGGGCCCGCACAAGCGGUGGAGCAUGUGGUUUAAUUCGAUGAUACGCGAGGAACCUUACCUGGGCUCAAAUGUAUGUUGACGUAUUCUGAAAGGGAUACUUCUUCGGACAAUAUACAAGGUGCUGCAUGGUUGUCGUCAGCUCGUGCCGUGAGGUGUCGGGUUAAGUCCCGCAACGAGCGCAACCCCUGCAUUCAGUUGCCAUCGGGUGAAGCCGGGCACUCUGGAAGGACUGCCAUCGACAAGAUGGAGGAAGGUGGGGACGACGUCAAGUCAUCAUGGCCCUUAUGUCCAGGGCGACACACGUGCUACAAUGGCCGGCACAACGGGAAGCGAGUUCGCGAGGACGAGCGGAUCCCUUAAAGCCGGUCGCAGUUCGGAUUGAAGUCUGCAACUCGACUUCAUGAAGCUGGAAUCGCUAGUAAUCGCAGAUCAGCCAAGCUGCGGUGAAUACGUUCCCGGGCCUU